rnacentral:rRNA from 1 species
UACGUAGGGUGCGAGCGUUGUCCGGAAUUAUUGGGCGUAAAGGGCUCGUAGGCGGUUUGUCGCGUCGGGAGUGAAAACACCGGGCUUAACUCGGUGCUUGCUUUCGAUACGGGCAGACUAGAGGUAUGCAGGGGAGAACGGAAUUCCUGGUGUAGCGGUGAAAUGCGCAGAUAUCAGGAGGAACACCGGUGGCGAAGGCGGGUCUCUGGGAAGUAACUGACGCUGAGGAGCGAAAGCGUGGGGAGCGAACAGG